GAUGAACGCUGGCGGCGUGCUUAACACAUGCAAGUCGAACGAUGAAGCCCAGCUUGCUGGGUGGAUUAGUGGCGAACGGGUGAGUAACACGUGAGUAACCUGCCCUUAACUCUGGGAUAAGCCUGGGAAACUGGGUCUAAUACCGGAUAGGAGCGUCCACCGCAUGGUGGGUGUUGGAAAGAUUUAUCGGUUUUGGAUGGACUCGCGGCCUAUCAGCUUGUUGGUGAGGUAAUGGCUCACCAAGGCGACGACGGGUAGCCGGCCUGAGAGGGUGACCGGCCACACUGAGACUGAGACACGGCCCAGACUCCUACGGGAGGCAGCAGUGGGGAAUAUUGCACAAUGGGCGCAAGCCUGAUGCAGCGACGCCGCGUGAGGGAUGACGGCCUUCGGGUUGUAAACCUCUUUCAGUAGGGAAGAAGCGAAAGUGACGGUACCUGCAGAAGAAGCACCGGCUAACUACGUG
rnacentral:rRNA from 1 species